GAUGAACGCUGGCGGCGUGCCUAAUACAUGCAAGUCGAGCGAACGGACGAGAAGCUUGCUUCUCUGAUGUUAGCGGCGGACGGGUGAGUAACACGUGGAUAACCUACCUAUAAGACUGGGAUAACUUCGGGAAACCGGAGCUAAUACCGGAUGAUAUUUUGAACCGCAUGGUUCAAAAGUGAAAGACGGUCUUGCUGUCACUUAUAGAUGGAUCCGCGCUGCAUUAGCUAGUUGGUAAGGUAACGGCUUACCAAGGCAACGAUGCAUAGCCGACCUGAGAGGGUGAUCGGCCACACUGGAACUGAGACACGGUCCAGACUCCUACGGGAGGCAGCAGUAGGGAAUCUUCCGCGAUGGGCGAAUGCCUGACGGAGCAACGCCGCGUGAGUGAUGAAGGUCUUCGGAUCGUAAAACUCUGUUAUUAGGGAAGAACAUAUGUGUAUGUAACUGUGCACAUCUUGACGGUACCUAAUCAGAAAGCCACGGCUAACUACGUG
rnacentral:rRNA from 1 species